rnacentral:rRNA from 1 species
GUGGGGAAUUUUGGACAAUGGGCGCAAGCCUGAUCCAGCAAUGCCGCGUGUGUGAAGAAGGCCUUCGGGUUGUAAAGCACUUUUGGCAGGAAAGAAAUAGUGCGUGCUAAUACCAUGCGCGAAUGACGGUACCUGCAGAAUAAGCACCGGCUAACUACGUGCCAGCAGCCGCGGUAAGACGUAGGGUGCAAGCGUUAAUCGGAAUUACUGGGCGUAAAGCGUGCGCAGGCGGUUUUGUAAGACAGGUGUGAAAUCCCCGGGCUCAACCUGGGAACUGCACUUGUGACUGCAAGGCUAGAGUGUGUCAGAGGGAGGUGGAAUUCCGCGUGUAGCAGUGAAAUGCGUAGAGAAGCGGAGGAACACCGAUGGCGAAGGCAGCCUCCUGGGAUAACACUGACGCUCAGGCACGAAAGCGUGGGGAGCAAACAGGAUUAGAUACCCGGGUAGUCC